UGCAGGUACUCCACUAUUGAAAGCUGUGUGCUGAAUGCGACGAAGAUCGAAGUUAAGGUCGUACUGAGAGGUUACAGAUCCAAAGGAAAGUAGCACCAUGGAGGAAGAUAGUCUUCAGACAACUUAGUCCUAGGCCUACACACAACGAAUUUGACAGAACUUAGCAUCACGAGAUAUUGAUGAAAAGGAAACCGUUUGGGAGAGAAAUCAUGAGUUAACUGGAGUUACUACCAACGUGAAGAGAGAGUGAGUCGCGAAAAUAAAAUGCUGUGAAACUGCGCGUCAGAUUUUCAGAAAACAGCCGAAGGGUUAAACUACCAACACAAGAACUUGCAGAGGAUUAGCCAAAGGGUUAUACUACCACCAAGAUAAGAACUUGCGGGGAAACAGAUGAAGGGUUACACCACCAACUCCACCCAGACAAGAACUUGCAAAGAAGCAGACGAAGGGUUACAUUGCCUCCAAGAUAAGAACUCUCAAAUAAGCAACUAAAGGUAGAUUAUAAU